ensembl:lncRNA
GAAAAUGUUCACAUUUUUAUUAUAUGCAUCCCACUGGGGGCAUUGCUGUUUUAGUAUUUAUUAAGAUUUUUGAAUUAGCACUUUUUUUUUUUAUCUUCAGUUUUCUUCUGAGUUUGUUUUUUGACAGUUCUAGCUUCUGUGGCUAUAUAAUAGGCGAGAAACUUUUGUGGUAAAACUUCAUGUUUACAGUCUAUUUUUGCUAAAUCUCUAAAUCUGUAUCAGUGUAGCUUUGACUUUAUUUCAGAUUUUGUUUUAUAAAUUUUAGUACUACAACAUUUCACUUAGUAGCUAAGGCAACAUUUAUUUUAUUUUUAUUUUAUCAUUUUAUUUUUUAUUAUUGUGACCCCUGACAAGAAAGGGAGCAACCCAAAAGCGAGAGAGAGCUAUUUAUGAUUUUAAUAUUUAAAUUUUAUAUUAUUUCAGCUUUAUUUAAAUGAAUGAAACAGUUUUAAUGGUAGAAGUUGUAUUUUAGUUAAAGAUUACAACACAAGUCUAAAUAAAAAAGGCAAUGCAUUACUAUCUAGAAGUGUAAAAAUCACAUGUUUAUAAAUUGUUAAACGUGUUGAUAAGUUAAAAAAAUGCCUUUAAUGUCAUUUAAGUUGAUGUUAGCUAUCCAAGUCAUUAUUCCAUCACGUAAGGCACUCUUUUCAUGGAGUAAUCCAGGGGCUGUUAUAUCUUUUCUGCUCAGGUUGGACACGGUCAAAGAGUUUCUCUGGUUCCUGACGGGACCCAUAACAUGCGCACCCUCAGCUUGAAGCCACUGCUGUUUGUGCCCGUCAGCAGGAAGGUCCCUCCGUCGGGGUGGUUGCGGGUCAGGUUGCCCACGCAGGUGGCGUCCCGCUCCAGCCACAGCGUCAGACGGCUCCUCAUUUCUCCUCCCAGCAGCGGGCCGUGCUUUAGGACCUCCAGCCGAGAGCCCAGGGAGAACAUCGUCAGGACAGAACUACUGGAGUUCAGCUUGGAUAGACGCACUUUAACCACUAGCAGAGAGAGAGAAAGAAAGACAUGAACAGUGAGUUUCAGCUUUAAUGUGCCCCUAUUAUGGAUUUUUGAAAAUGAACUUUCAUGCAAUGUGUAACACGGCUCUAAGUGAAUGAAAUCAUCCUGCAAACUUUUAAAUCUGAAAGUGCACUGUGU